rnacentral:rRNA from 1 species
UACGUAGGUGGCAAGCGUUGUCCGGAUUUACUGGGCGUAAAGAGCGCGCAGGCGGCUGAUUAAGUCGAAUGUGAAAGCCCCCGGCUCAACUGGGGAGGGUCAUUCGAUACUGAUCAACUUGAAGGCAGGAGAGGGUAGUGGAAUUCCCGGUGUAGUGGUGAAAUGCGCAGAUAUCAGGAGGAACACCGAUGGCGAAGGCAGGUCUCUGGGCCAUAACUGACGCUGAGAAGCGAAAGCAUGGGGAGCGAACAGG